GAUGAAGAACGUAGCGAAAUGCGAUAAGUAAUGUGAAUUGCAGAAUUCAGUGAAUCAUCGAAUCUUUGAACGCACAUUGCGCCCGCCAGUAUUCUGGCGGGCAUGCCUGUUCGAGCGUCAUUACAACCCUCAGGCCCCCGGGCCUGGCGUUGGGGAUCGGCGGAGCCCCCCGUGGGCACACGCCGUCCCCCAAAUCCAGUGGCGGUCCCGCCGCAGCUUCCAUCGCGUAGUAGCUAACACCUCGCGACUGGAGAGCGGCGCGGCCACGCCGUAAAACACCCAACUCUUCUGAAGUUGACCUCGAAUCAGGUAGGAAUACCCGCUGAACUUAAGCAUAUCAAUAAGCGGAGGA
rnacentral:misc_RNA from 1 species